rnacentral:rRNA from 1 species
UACAGAGGUCCCAAGCGUUGUUCGGAUUCACUGGGCGUAAAGGGUGCGUAGGUGGUGAACUAAGUCGGGUGUGAAAUCUCCGGGCUCAACCCGGAGCGUGCGCCCGAAACUGGUUUGCUAGAGGAUGGGAGGGGAGACUGGAAUUCUCGGUGUAGCAGUGAAAUGCGUAGAUAUCGAGAGGAACACCGGUGGCGAAGGCGAGUCUCUGGACCAUUCCUGACACUGAGGCACGAAAGCCGGGGGAGCAAACAGG